GAUCAUGUUCACCAAGGGCAUAUGGUGGAUGCCUUGGCGCCAGAGCCGAUGAAGGACGCGGCCACCCUGCGAAAAGCCUCGGGAAGCCGGUGGCAGGCUAUGAACCGGGGAUCUCCGAAUGGGGUAACCCAGGGCGGGUCAUGCCGCCCUGCGGGAAGAACUCGUUGUCUUCCCGCGGGAACCGGGCGAACGGAAACAUCCCAGUAGCUCGAGGAAAAGAAAGCAAAUGCGAUUCCCCCAGUAGCGGCGAGCGAAAAGGGAACAGCCUAAACUCGGGUUCUGGCCCCUGUGUGGGGGUACAGGCUCGGGGGUCGUGGGGAAGAGAAGGCAGAAAUCUGCUUCCGCGGGUCGUUGGGGGCAGCUAGCUGAAGCCUCUGGGAAGGGGCGCCACAGAGGGUGAAAGCCCCGUAAGCCAAAGCUGCUAGAACGAUCUGCCUCUUACCCCGAGUAGCACGAGGGACGGGAGCCCUUGUGCGAAUUCGCGAGUACCACCUCGCAAGGCUAAAUACUCCUGGCGACCGAUAGCGAAGAGUACCGUGAGGGAAAGGUGAAAAGAACCCCGGGAGGGGAGUGAAAGAGAACCUGAAACCAUAUGCCUACAGGCAGUCAGAGUUCCUUCUAUGCCAUGCUGUGGCGUAGAGUGGGAAUGAUGGCGUGCCUAUUGCAGAAGGAACCGGCGAGUCACUGUCGCUGGCCUUGGUUAAGGCCGAGAGGCCGUAGCCGCAGCGAAAGCGAGUCUGAAGAGGGCGUAGUCGGCGGCAGUGGACCCGAAACCGCGUGAUCUCCCCAUGGCCAGGGUGAAGCGAGGGUUACACCUCGUGGAGGCCCGAACCCGUUGGUGGUGCAAUACCAUGGGAUGAGCUGUGGGGAGGGGUGAAAUGCCAAUCGAACGCGGCGAUAGCUGGUUCUCCCCGAAAUGCAUGUCAGUGCAGCCUCGGGCGCAUGGUGAUGGGGGUAGAGCACUGGAUGGCGCUAGGGACCAUACCCGGCACCCGAACCCAACCAAACUCCGAAUACCAUCACCGGAAACCCGGGAGUGAGGCGAUGGGGGAUAAGCUCCAUUGCCAAGAGGGAAACAACCCAGACCGCCGGCUAAGGCCCCUAAGUGCGGGCUCAGUGAGCAAAAGGAUGUGGGACGGCGAAGACGCCCGGGAUGUUGGCUUGAGAGCAGCCAUCGUCCAAGGAGUGCGUAAUAGCACACCGGGGGAGUCGCCCUGCGCCGAAAAUUCACGGGUCUUAAGUCCGCCGCCGAAGCCGCGGGACUCGUAAUACGUGACAGACACACUCCGUUGAGGAGAUCUGGGCCGGGUGAGGCGGGUGAUGACGAGCUUGCGGCUGCCGGCCCCCUUUUUCGGGGAGGAGCGCAUGACGUAUUACGAGUCGGUAGGGGAGCGUUCCGUCGUAGGGUGAAGCGCGUGUGAAAACACGCGUGGACGAAACGGAAGUGCGAAUGCCGGUAUGAGUAGCGUUGCAGGGGUGAGAAUCCCCUCCGCCGAAAGCCUAAGGUUUCCUAUGCCGCAAUGUUCGUCAGCGGCGGGUUAGGCGGGCCUAAGCCGAGGCCGAAAGGCGUAGGCGAUGGAUAGCCGGUCACAUUCCGGCCCCACCAGGGGCAAGGUGGACCACAGGGCACAAUGCCAGGCGGCCCUCCCGGGAAACCGGGAUAUCCGCAGCCUCGCAGCGCCCUCACUGCUCUCGCCAGAGUCUGCCAGAACACGCGGGGAGUAUCCCUGCCAUGGGCUGGCGGAUGAACCAGGCGAGGGCUAUCCCGCGGGGACGUGGGACCGUCCUUCCGGGGGGCGGCUGGUAGCCCACCCGGCAGGACCUAACCGCCAAGAAAAGCCGCGGGAGGAACCCCCUGGUGCCCGUACCUCAAACCGACACUGGUAGGCGAGGAGAGAAUCCUCAGGCGAGCGGGAGAACCCUCGUUAAGGAACUCGGCAAAUUGGCCCCGUAACUUCGGGAGAAGGGGCGCUCCACCCUCUCAACACACCCCAGCGCGGGUUGUGGGAGGACGAGGAGCCGCAGGGAAACGGCCUGGGCGACUGUUUACAAAAAACACAGGUCUCUGCUAAGUCGCAAGAAAGACGACGUAUAGGGGCCGACGCCUGCCCAGCGCCAGGACCUAAGGGGAUGGGUUCGCGAAACCCAUCGCGGGCUCUGAACCGAAACCCUGGUUAGCGGCGGCCGCGACAGGAAGCGGUCCGAAGGUAGCAAGAUUCCUUGACAGCUAAAUACUGUCCUGCUCCAAUGGCGUCACGACCCAGGCGCUGUCUCAACGAGGGACCCGGCGAAAUUGCGAUAUCGGUGAACAUGCCGAUGACCCGCGGUAGGAUGGAGAGACCCCGUGGAGCUUUACCGCAGCUAGCUGUUGGGUGCGGCUGAAUGAUGAAGAGAUCUAGGUGGGAGCCCGAUGUCGUCUCUGCCUGCGCGUCAAGCGCGCGGGUAGGCGUGAGUGAUGGGCAGAAGUGGAAUACCACCCUUCGUUCGGCGCGUGUCCUCAUCGCCCCUGUGCAGGGGGCGAGACCGCGGCUGGUGAGCGGUUCCGGCUGGAUCGGCAUCCUCCCAAAAAGUAACGGAGGAGACCAAAGGUCGCCUCAGCCUGGUUGGAAAUCAGGCAGUGACUUGCAAAGGGAUAAGGCGGCUUGACUGCGAGAGCGACGGCUCGAGCAGGUGCGAAAGCAGGGCUUAUCGACACGAUGGUACCUCGUGGGAGGGCCAUCGGACAACGGGUACAAGCUCCCCGGGAAUACAGGGCUCACCUCGCCCGAGAGAUCCCAUCGACGGCGAGACGUGGCGCCUCGUUGCCGGCUCAUCCCAUCCUGGGGCUGAAGCAGGUCCCAAGGGUUGGACUUCUCGUCCAUGAAAGGGGUCUGUGAGCUGGGAAUAGACCGUCGUGAGACAGGUCGUGUCCUAUCCACCGUGGGCGUGGGAGACUUGAGAGGGUCUGCCCCCAGUACGAGAGGACCGGGGCGGGCGGACCACCGGUGUAUCUGUUGUGCCGCCAGGCGCACCGCAGAGUAGCUGACGUCCGUUACGGAUAAGCACUGAAAGCAUCUAAGCGCGAAGCCGGCCUCAAGACAAUAGGUCUCCAUUCAGGCCCCUGGUAGACCACCAGGUUGAUAGACCGGAGGUGUAAGGGUCGCGAGGCCUUUAGCUAACCGGCACUAAUCGGCCGAAAACAUGA
rnacentral:rRNA from 1 species